CAGCAGGGGGAGCAAGAUGAAGUCACAAACCCAGGUUUUCACGUCCUUGCUGCUUUGGGUGUCGGGUGCCUGUGCAGACAUUGUGAUGACUCAGUCUUCAUCCUUCCUGGCUGUGUCAGCGGGAGAGAAGGUCUCCAUCAGCUGCAGGUCCAGUCAGAGUCUUUAUUACAGUGGCAAUAACUACUUGGCCUGGUACCAGCAGAAACCAGGGCAAUCCCCUAAGCUGCUGGUCUACUGGGCAUCCACUCGGCAUACUGGGGUCCCUGAUCGCUUCACAGGCAGUGGAUCUGGCACAGAUUUCACUCUCAGCAUCAGCAGUGUACAGGCUGAAGACCUGGCAGUUUAUUACUGUCAGCAGUACUUUGAAGAUCCUCCCACAGUGCUUCAGCCUCCAACACAAACCUCCUUGAGAGUCUCACCAGCUGCCUGCACCACACACAGCCCUGGCCCUGCACACUUCCCCCUUCUGCCUGAUAGCUGGUGUGCCAGAGAAACUUGCGAAUAGUUUGCAGAAGAAAGGUUAA